rnacentral:tRNA from 1 species
GCGGGAGUAGCUCAGCCGGUAGAGCGUCAGCUUCCCAAGCUGGAUGUCGCGGGUUCGAUUCCCGUCUCCCGCUCCA